CUCGUAGGCGGUGUGUCGCGUCGGUCGUGAAAACUUUCAGCUUAACUGGGAGCUUGCGGUCGAUACGGGCAUCACUGGAGUUCGGCAGGGGAGACUGGAAUUCCUGGUGUAGCGGUGAAAUGCGCAGAUAUCAGGAGGAACACCGGUGGCGAAGGCGGGUCUCUGGGCCGAUACUGACGCUGAGGAGCGAAAGCGUGGGGAGCGAACA
rnacentral:rRNA from 1 species